rnacentral:tRNA from 1 species
GCUCCAGUGGCGCAAUCGGUCAGCGCGCGGUUCUUAUAAUGCCGAGGUUGUGAGUUCAAGCCUCACCUGGAGCA